CUUGGUGGGGAGGGGGCCCUCAGCCUGGAUUGCGAGAGGGUGCAGGCCAGGCCGAGGGACCCCACUGGUGCACA
rfam:Myotis lucifugus cont2.33698, whole genome shotgun sequence.